rnacentral:rRNA from 1 species
AAUCAACGCUGGCGGCGUGCCUCAGACAUGCAAGUCGAACGUGAAAGUUUCCUUCGGGGAGCGAGUAGAGUGGCGCACGGGUGAGUAACACGUAGGUGAUUUACCUUUGGGUGGAGAAUAACAGUCGGAAACGAUUGCUAAUACUGCAUAAUGCAGCGGCUCGACAUCGAGACAGUUGUUAAAGUAGGGUUGAAAGACCUUAUGCCUAAAGAAAGCCUGUGGCAGAUAGCUAGAUGGUAAGGUAAUGGCUUACCAUGGCGACGAUCUGUAGCCGGCCUGAGAGGGCGGUCGGCCACACUGACACUGAAUAACGGGUCAGACUCCUACGGGAGGCAGCAGUCGGGAAUUUUGGGCAAU